AUCAUAACCUUCAGUGUGGUUUAAUUGGAACAUGAAGAUGCUGGAGGUUUAAAUUAGAUGUUCCUACGAGAGAGGGGAUGAGACGUGGCCAUUUAGCGACCUGCUCCACCCCGGCGAGGAGAGGGGGGUACGCAGGGAGAGAGAGACAAGCACACAGAGGAGAAAGAGAACAAAGUGGAAGUGAAAUAUUACUGUCCAUCUUGACACAAAUGAGGAAGUAGCCCCAGGACUACAAAACAGGAACUCCGGGGCCCAGAGAAGAGAGAGAAGAAAACUCACAAAUAGCCGUCAAUGAAAAGCAACGUCCUCACCCACUGACUUUUCCUAAAUAUUAAUGCUGCCGCUGUCUGCUGGAGGAAGGAGAUGGUGGAGAGAAAUGUAAGGGAGACAGUUUUCAAAAGAGAAUGUAUUUAUCAACAUCGUCACCACUGAAAUGUACAUGUUUAGCACCUGGUGUACAGGACCGUGCUCCGCAGGCUAACAGAUAUUCCUGGACUCAAGUAUUAUUAAAUUUGCAAGCGUGAAAAUUUUACUCCUUGCGUUUUUGAAAUAUUUGAUAGUCAAAAGUGGAUGGAGACCAGAAAGGAAUGACAAAGAAAACAGGAUGUGAACACUUCCAGGGAGAUGGGGUGACCCAUGCAGGAGCUUGUUUACAGGCAAAGAUUCAGUGACUCACAAUAGCACAUGGAGGAAACGAGAGUCAAAGAGCAAUGGUAAUUUAAUCAAAGGGUUCAUUUCCUCUCCAUGCCAUCGUUUGCCAAUGCUACAGAACCUAUAAUAAUUUCUCCUUCAGUGGAGAACAUAUGUUUUGCUUGUGACCACUUCACGUAUGCAUGGGUUCACAAAUCCACACAUAUAACAGACUAAUAAAUGCUGCUAAUUAUAUUUCCUACCCAAAGGGCUGCUAACCAUGCAAAUGAGAAGUGGUAAUCCUGUACCGCAGAACUUGAAACAGCAGCCAAACAGCCAGCCUAAACACGCAGCUUAUGAAGGAUUCAGCAUGUGUACUUCGCAAGGAUGGUGAAACUGAUGUUUUCAGGAUCUCUAAUUUACCAUUUAGAGUGCAGAGGUACAUCAGAAAUUACUUUGGAGGAUAUGUGGCAUCUCCCAGGUAGGAAAGGACCUAUCCACGGUAACUAGAUUUUUCUGCCGAACAUCAAAAGGAGGUGGUCGUAAAAAGUGCCCACCAAGUUAUUUCAUAGAACCAAAUUUUAUGCAAAGCAUGCCUGAUAGUCAAAGGACAAACAAAUGCUCACUGGCAUUCUGAACUGAGAGCUUCUGUCUUACACAGAUAUGCUGUGUCACACAGGAAGGCACUUAAAACCCCCACGGCCUCACAAGUAAAGUAUUUUGCCAAACCUCAGGAGGCACGACAUCGGUAGAUCCUUUGAAAAUGCAAACCCAUUAUUGCUACAUGAAUGACAGCUCAUAAGGAGCCUUCAGAGUGCAGGAAAAGCUGGAGCUCACCUUUUCUUCAAUAGGGCAUUUCUCUUUGAGCCAGUGAUUCAGGACUUCAUCUUUAAACGCGCCCGUGUUGCCCACGGUGCUUUGCUGAAUUUUGGCAAUUGUCGUGGCCUCUUUCACGAUCUCGAUCAUUCCUAUGAGAAGAUACACAGAGGCUGAUGGACACUGGGGCCUGGGGCCUGACCCAGAGGAGGAAUGGCUGGGUCUCUGUUGACAGGAGGGCAGAGGGCUUUUCAACCAGGCGGCUAUUUCCCUGGUUUGGUUUUCUUAGGAGAGAGAGAAAGAAAAGGAGGAGGAUGCAGAAGUUUUGUGGGACAUGCUUUCAGUCCCUGAAUGAAAAGAGGAAAGGUUGGCUUUCAAAGGCAAUAAGUAAAAGCACUUAUGUGCUGAGCAUAUGUGCUUGGCAAACGGUGCCUUUUCCUUUUUUAAUCACAGGGUCAAAUGGAAGUGGUUUUGUACAGUUCUCAGAUUGGAAACUUGAAUAAAAAUAUGUCUGCUUGAAACAAAAAUGUUAAAUGUCUGUAAAAGCACCUAAGAGUAGAGUAUGUAAUAGUUUCAAUAAUGUGAAUUCUAAGAUAUUGAAAUAAGUGACAGAUCUUUGCGUCUAUUUUUAAACGUUAUUUGUGAGAGAGAGGUUUUAUGUGCAGUGAAACGAGUUACAGUUUAGAGGUGGAGAAGUAAAGAGGAGGGAACAAGUUCUUAUGAAAAUCAUUUCCAUGUAUAGUCACAGGGAUUUAAAUCACACAUUCAUGUAUUUUCAACAGAUCCAUAUUAAAUCAAGAGUCACAUUCACCAACCUUGGAACAUUUUCUUCCUUUUCUAUUUGGAUUACGAUUGUAAUUUUUCACUUAUUAAAUGCCUACGCUAAAGGA